UUCACACCUGUGCCGGCCCCGCCCCGCUCCGCCCGCGCCCGUAAAUGCCGGCGGAUCCGCGCCCGCUCCGCUUUGUGCGGUGAACGCUCAUCCUGCUCAUCCCGGGCUGCGGCGGGACCGUCGUUCGGGGCGCUGUGCGGAGCCCGGCACCGGGGGCUGCUCCCGGCGCUGCGCCGAGCCCGAGGCGCUGAGAGCACAGGACAUCCUGAGUGGGAAUGGAUACACAAAGACCACCAAGUCGCACCCUUAUGUGAAUGGCUCCUCUGGCGAUUGAACCCACACCUGGGCACUCUCAGCACCCUGCUCCAGCCAAGCCAAUCUCAGCUCCUGGCAAUAUCCUGCCUGGGAUAGGAAUGCCAAGUGCCAGCAAGGUCAUUCCUAUGCAAAUACAGCUCCUUCUUUUAUGCUAAUGCUGCUUUCCACACCAGCCCCUGCAAUGGCCCCAGGGCAGAGCUCCAUGGCCAGCAUCUGAUCAUGCAACAACACAGGUGAGCAGUUGUGUGACAGCACUGAACUCUUCCCAUAACCUGAUUUCCUGCCCUUUCCAGGAUUUACCCAACAGCUGUAAAGGUGCUCGUUCCAUGGCCCUUUCCAGGGAGAAAUGAGCAAGGCAAGUCCUGAGGGUUCACUUGGUCCACGGCCAAAGCUCUUCUGGAGAGGGUCAGGGCUGUUCCUGCCUGCAGAGGGGCCUUUCCCACAGGUGCCCUGGGGAUGCCAGGGAGGUGCCUUUGCCCACAGUGCCUUUCUCCUGCCCCUCUCCAGCCCGAGGCCUCUUCUCCCUUCCCUGCCAGCUGCUGCCAAAGAAGGAGGACACAGUGAGUGCUGAGUUGACCUCCAAAUAGUCCUUCCCUCACCUUGAGAUGACCUGAGAUUUUACCCCCAAAAUGUCCCCAUCUGUCUCCUUCUGAGUUCCUCAUUUUUUACAAGGAAGCAUUCUUUCUCUGCUCUGGAGACUACCACAAGAUUUGCCCCCAAAACUUUCCCCACCUGUCCACUACCUCUUUCCUCAUUUCCACCUCAAUCUUUUCAUUCUUUGCCCUACAGAUGCUUUCAAUUUUUACCCCUCCGAACUUCCCUACCUGUCCAUAAGUGAUUACCUCAGUUUACCCCAUCAAGUGCAUUCUCUCUGCUACAGAUCACCUCAGAUUUUACCCCCAAAAUUUUCCGUACGUCUCCACCACUGAGUACUUUAUUUUUACCUCCAAAUACUCAUUUUCUACCAUGGAGAUUCCCUCAAGUUUUACCCGCCAGAUUUACCCACCUGUCCACAGCAAUUCCUUCAGUUUACCUCAGGAUGCUCCUCUCUCUCCUAGAGAUGACCUCACAUUUUACCCCCUCAGUUUUCCCUACCUGCCCAGUUCUGAUCACCUCCUUUUUACCUCAAAACAUGAGUUCUUUCUUCUACAGAUGAACUCGGAUUUUAUUGCCAAAAUGUCUCUUUUGUCCCCUGUACACUGACAAGAUUUUAAAACCAAAACCAGGCAGGUUAUGUCUGUCUUACCCCCAAAAUGUUCAUUCUGUCCCCUACAAAUUAGCUCAGAUUUUUUCUCAAAACCACUUAUGGUUCCUACAUAAUUACCUCAGGGUUUGCCCCCCACAUUCUACCUCAUCUUGACUACUGAUCACCUCAUUGCUUCCUCAGUAUGUUCAUUCUUUGCCCUACAGAUCUUCCCAAGUUUUACACCCCAAAUUUCCUUGUCUAGCCCCAGUGAUUGCCUCAGUUUAUGUCAGUGGUCACACUCUCCCUAGAGAUUACCUCAAGUUUAACCCCCAAAAUUUUCCUUAACUGUCCCCAAUUUAUUACCUCAUUUUUACCAAAAAAGAUUCAUUCUCAACCUUUAGAUUAUUUCAAGUUUGACCCCCCAAAAUUCCCCUACCUGUCCACUACUGAUUCCCUCAUUCUUCCUUCAAUAUUUAUUUCCUUUCUACCAUGUAGCUUCUAUCAAGAUUUACCCCCAAAGUUUUCCAUCUGUCUACUACUGCUUACCUCAUUUUUACCU